GAUCAACGCUGGCGGCGUGCCUGAGACAUGCAAGUCGAACGAAGGAUCGGGCUUGCUCGAUCCUUAGUGGCGGACGGCUGAGUAACGCGUAGGUGACCUACCCCGAAGUGGGGAAUAACUGCCCGAAAGGGUGGCUAAUACCGCAUGUGGUCGCACGUUCAUUCGUGCGAGUAAAGCCGCAAGGCGCUUCGGGAGGGGCCUGCGUCCGAUUAGCUCGUUGGUGGGGUAAUGGCUUACCAAGGCGACGAUCGGUAGGUGGUCUGAGAGGACGAUCACCCAGACUGGGACUGAGACACGGCCCAGACUCCUACGGGAGGCAGCAGUCGGGAAUUUUGCUCAAUGGGGGAAACCCUGAAGCAGCAACGCCGCGUGAGGGAUGAGGGCCUUCGGGUUGUAAACCUCUUUUGUCAGGGACGAUGAUGACGGUACCUGGCGAAUAAGCCACGGCUAACUACGUG
rnacentral:rRNA from 1 species